rnacentral:lncRNA from 1 species
UGAUUUCUAGUGGGUGGUGCGGUCUCACCAAUUGGCUCACCACCUCACCUAACAGUUAUUGGUGAUGGGUCAACCGAUGAGUGGACAAAUCUUGUCCAAUGAUUCUCUAAUCAUGAUGCACCCAAAACUUGGUCUUUAAUUCAUGAAGCUCACCAUGUCCAGAAUAUUGCUCCAAUCCUUAGUUAAGUCAGACCCACCAUUUGCACGAAUUAGAUUCCUGAUUGGGUCCCUCACCGUAUCCGAAAUAUUAAGCACAACCCAUCCUCUAAUCUGUAGCAUCAAUGCCUAAUGGACAUGGUUGCAUCUUCCAGGUGCAACUGAGCCACUGAACCAGCCGAGAACAAUCAACCCCGAGAAGGGCCCGCACAUCCACAAUGGUGGAAGACCUUAGACUUAAUAUUUUCUUA